UACGGAGGAUGCGAGCGUUAUUCGGAAUCAUUGGGUUUAAAGGGUCUGUAGGCGGGCUAUUAAGUCAGGGGUGAAAGGUUUCAGCUUAACUGAGAAAUUGCCUUUGAUACUGGUAGUCUUGAAUAUCUGUGAAGUUCUUGGAAUGUGUAGUGUAGCGGUGAAAUGCUUAGAUAUUACACAGAACACCGAUUGCGAAGGCAGGGGACUAACAGACAAUUGACGCUGAGAGACGAAAGCGUGGGGAG
rnacentral:rRNA from 1 species